rnacentral:rRNA from 1 species
UACAGAGGUGGCAAGCGUUGUUCGGAAUUACUGGGCGUAAAGGGCGAGUAGGUGGCCAUCUAAGUCAGACGUGAAAUCCCCCGGCUUAACCUGGGAACUGCGUCUGAUACUGGACGGCUUGAGUAUGGGAGAGGAACGUAGAAUUCCAGGUGUAGCGGUGAAAUGCGUAGAUAUCUGGAGGAAUACCGGUGGCGAAGGCGGCCAUCUGGAUCAACACUGACGCUGAGGCACGAAAGCGUGGGGAGCAAACAGG